AAUCUUACCGGGUCCGGACACACUGAGGAUUGACAGGCAAUAUAUGUGACUCUUCGGAGUUUGCAUUGUUAAAUAUGCUAGUCCUUUCAUGAUUAUGUGAUAGGUGGUGCAUGGCCGUUCUUAGUUCGUGGAGUGAUCUGUCUGCUUAAUUGCGUUUCAAAUUACUUAUAAGGUAGCAAUACGCGAUGAAGCUUUCAAUAGUCCUCACGGAUUCACUUGAGUCUCUCGCUUCGCUAUCCUUUCGAAUGCAACGAACGUGACCGCAACCUCUUGUUGCCUUCGUUUAACAUCCUGCAGCUCGCUGUGGGUACUGAGGGCUUCACUCGGUGACUUUGGGCUGAGCAAUCGGUCUCUU
rnacentral:rRNA from 1 species